AGCGAACGCUGGCGGCAGGCCUAACACAUGCAAGUCGAACGAACCUUUCGGGGUUAGUGGCGGACGGGUGAGUAACACGUGGGAACGUGCCUUUAGGUUCGGAAUAACUCAGGGAAACUUGUGCUAAUACCGAAUGUGCCCUUCGGGGGAAAGAUUUAUCGCCUUUAGAGCGGCCCGCGUCUGAUUAGCUAGUUGGUUGAGGUAAUGGCUCACCAAGGCGACGAUCAGUAGCUGGUCUAAGAGGAUGAUCAGCCACAUUGGGACUGAGACACGGCCCAAACUCCUACGGGAGGCAGCAGUGGGGAAUCUUGCGCAAUGGGCGAAAGCCUGACGCAGCCAUGCCGCGUGAAUGAUGAAGGUCUUAGGAUUGUAAAAUUCUUUCACCGGGGACGAUAAUGACGGUACCCGGAGAAGAAGCCCCGGCUAACUUCGUG
rnacentral:rRNA from 1 species